GGAAUAUCUGGCCUGGACAAAGGACCAAGAUUCCAGCUGAGCAAGUCAGUCACACAGCAAGGAAACCACUCAAGAAGACGACAUAACUCCUAAGAAAGAUGGAAACACUUCAAGCCAUGCUAGAGAGAUAGAAGUUGAGUCAUAAUUGCCCUUUGGAUUGUCCUUGAUCCUACAACAUAUUG
rnacentral:lncRNA from 1 species